rnacentral:misc_RNA from 1 species
AAGAAAGGGAGUAAAAGAGAGGGAUGAAUGAGAGAGACGAGAGAGUGUUGUUGGUGUUGUUUAAAUCGGGGUUCAGUGGGAGCUUGGGACGCUGGUCAGAGAAGCGUCCUCUGUUCAUUCUGGCUUGACGGGACGCGACGGGCACGCGACGGGGCUGCAUGACCGGGCUGCUGCAGAGAAUAUCUGUAAAGAGUUUCUGCACGCUGUCAUUGAUAGCGUCCCGCAUUUGGACGCUUCUCUGACUGGCAUCCCGCUCUGCUGCACACUUCUCUGACUGGCGUCCCAGUCCAAAACGCUAUCUUGACUAGCGUCUCUAUUUUCUCCUCAUCCCGUUUCGGUAAUAUUUAGAUUUUCAACCCUUUUUCCGUAUUU